rnacentral:rRNA from 1 species
GUUGGUGAGGUAACGGCUCACCAAGGCAACGAUGCGUAGCCGACCUGAGAGGGUGAUCGGCCACACUGGGACUGAGACACGGCCCAGACUCCUACGGGAGGCAGCAGUAGGGAAUCUUCCGGCAAUGGACCGAAAGUUUCGACGGAAGCAACGCCGCGCUGAGGUGAAUGAAGGCUUUCGGGUCGUUAAAAACUCUGUUGUUAGGGAAGGAACAAGUGCCUAGUUGAAUAAGCCUGGCACCCUUUGACCGGUACCUUAACCAGAAAUGCCACCGGCUAAACUUACGUUGCCAGCAGACCGCGGUAAUAUCGUAAGGUUGGCCAAGCGUUAUUCCGGGAAAUUAUUGGGCGUUAAAGCGGCGCGCGCAGGUGGUUUUCUUAAGUUCUGAUGUGGAAAGGCCCACCGGCUCCAACCGUGGAAGGGUCAUUGGAAACUUGGAAGACUUGAGUGCAGAAGAGGAAAGUGGAAUUCCAUGUGUAGCGGUGAAAUGCGUAGAGAUAUGGAGGAACACCAGUGGGGAGGGGGACUUUCUGGUCUGUAACUGACACUGAGGCGCGAAAAGCGUGGGGAGCAAACCGGAUUAGAUACCCUGGUAGUCCACGCCCGUAAACGAUGAAUGCUAAGUGUUAGAGGGUUUUCGCCCUUUAUUUAGUGCUGAAGUUAAAGCAUUAAGCCCUCCGCCUGGGGAGUACGGGCCGCAAGGGUGAAAAUCAAAGGAAUUGACGGGGGCCCGCACAAACGGGGGAGCAAGUGGUUUAAUUUGAAAGCAACGCGAAGAACCUUUACCAGGUCUUGACCUCCUUUGGCAACCACUAGUAGAGAUAGCGGCUUCUUCCUUUCGGGAGCAGAAGUGACCGGGGGGGCAUGGUUGUUCGUUAGCUUGUGUUGUGGAGAAGUUGGGUUAAGUCCCGCAACGAGCGCCACCCUUGAUUUUAGUUGCCAUCCUUAAGUUGGGCACUUUAAGGGGGCCGCCGGGGACAAACCGGGGGAAGGGGGGGAAGGCGUCAAAUCAUCAUGCCCCUUAUGGCCUGGGCUACCCCCCUGCUACAAAGGGCGGGUCAAAGAGCUGCAAGGCCGCGAGGUGGAGCUAAUUUUAUAAAACCGGUUUCAGUUCGGAUUGUAGGCUGCAAAUUGCCUACCAGAAACUGGAAUCGCUAGUUA